AGAUUGAACGCUAGCGGGAUGCUUUACACAUGCAAGUCGAACGGCAGCGCGGACUUCGGUCUGGCGGCGAGUGGCGAACGGGUGAGUAAUAUAUCGGAACGUGCCCAGUAGCGGGGGAUAACUACGCGAAAGCGUGGCUAAUACCGCAUACGCCCUACGGGGGAAAGGGGGGGAUCGCAAGACCUCUCACUAUUGGAGCGGCCGAUAUCAGAUUAGCUAGUUGGUGAGGUAAAGGCUCACCAAGGCGACGAUCUGUAGCUGGUUUGAGAGGACGACCAGCCACACGUGGGACUGAGACACGGCCCAGACCUCCGUACGGGAGGCAGCAGGUGGGGAAUUCGUAGGACAAGUGGGGGAAACCCUGAAUCCAGCCAUCCCGCGUGUGCGAUGGAAGGCCGUUCGGGUUAGUAAAGCUACGUUUUUGGACGAAGGGAACGAAACGG
rnacentral:rRNA from 1 species